rnacentral:lncRNA from 1 species
UCAGAUUAGCAAGCUAAACAGAGAAAAAGAUAACACUCAAGAAGCUGCCUAUAUGUAAGAGAUUCCUUUGAGAACUUUCAAAUGGCUCCUUUCUACAAAAGACCUGGGAAUACUUAACCCCCCACCACUAGCACACUCAAAGCUCAAGGCAAAUGCAUUUUCAAGAUUGACAGGGUCUUGGACUCUGAAAGUCUUUGAGUGGGAGAAAGAAGAUCAAUGUUGGCUCAAGUGGUCAGAAAAGGCUUCAAGAAGAAACACAUUCAUGCGGUAGAUGACCCUAGAGAAGGGAGUGAUACUGCUUACUAAAGCAGGAUCCAGGUAAGCACCUGUCAAGCUCCUGGGGGUCUUCGUGGAUUCAGGGAUUUCUCAGUCACCAUUACUAUAAUGAUACAGUGGGUCUCUGUAUUAGCCCGUUUUCAUACUGCUGAUAAAGACAUGCUUGGGAAGAAAAAGAAGGUUAAUUGAACUUACAGUUCCACAUAGCUGGG